GUAGUCCACGCCGUAAACGUUGGGCGCUAGGUGUGGGGGGUUAUCCACUCCCUCCGUGCCGCAGCUAACGCAUUAAGCGCCCCGCCUGGGGAGUACGGCCGCAAGGCUAAAACUCAAAGGAAUUGACGGGGGCCCGCACAAGCGGCGGAGCAUGUGGCUUAAUUCGACGCAACGCGAAGAACCUUACCAAGGCUUGACAUGCAAGGAAAUCUCGUAGAGAUACGGGGUCCGCAAGGGUCUUGCACAGGUGGUGCAUGGUUGUCGUCAGCUCGUGUCGUGAGAUGUUGGGUUAAGUCCCGCAACGAGCGCAACCCUCGUCCUAUGUUGCCAGCGAGUAAUGUCGGGGACUCAUAGGAGACUGCCGGGGUCAACUCGGA
rnacentral:rRNA from 1 species